rnacentral:rRNA from 1 species
CCUACGGGAGGCAGCAGUGGGGAAUAUUGCACAAUGGGCGAAAGCCUGAUGCAGCAACGCCGCGUGAGCGAUGAAGGCCUUAGGGUCGUUAAGCUCUGUCCUCAAGGAAGAUAAUGACGGUACGUGAGGAGGAAGCCCCGGCUAACUACGUGCCAGCAGCCGCGGUAAUACGGAGGGGGCUAGCGUUAUCCGGAAUUACUGGGCGUAAAGGGUGCGUAGGUGGGUUCUUAAGGCAGAGGUGAAAGGCUACGGCUCAACCGUAGUAAGCCUUUGAAACUGGGGAACUUGAGUGCAGGAGAGGAGAGUGGAAUGCGUAGUGUAGCGGUGAAAUGCGUAGAUAUUAGGAGGAACACCAGUUGCGAAGGCGGCUCACUGGACUGUAACUGACACUGAGGCACGAAAGCGUGGGGAGCAAACAGGAUUAGAUACCCGAGUAGUC